AUUGAACGCUGGCGGCAGGCCUAACACAUGCAAGUCGAACGAGUGGCGGACGGGUGAGUAAUGUCUGGGAAACUGCCUGAUGGAGGGGGAUAACUACUGGAAACGGUAGCUAAUACCGCAUACCAUCGGAUGUGCCCAGAUGGGAUUAGCUAGUAGGUGGGGUAAAGGCUCACCAAGGCGACGAUCCCUAGCUGGUCUGAGAGGAUGACCAGCAAACCGGGAAUUAGGAACCGGUCCAGACUCCUACGGGAGGCAGUAGUGGGGAAUAGUGCACAAGGGGCGGAAGCCUGAUGCGGCAUGCCGCGUGUAUGAAGAAGGCCUUCGGGUUGUAAAGUACUUUCCGCGGGGAGGCGUUACCCGCAGAAGAAGCACCGGCUAACUCCGUGCCAGCAGCCGCGGUAAUAC
rnacentral:rRNA from 1 species